rnacentral:lncRNA from 1 species
UUUUUUGUCAAAUGAUCAGGCAUAACACAAUAGCAGUUCAAAUUAACACAGAAAAAGAAGGAUAAAAAGCUACGUGGGGAAAAAUGGAGAGUAAAGAAUGAGAUAUCCACUGUCAAAUUUGAAUGUCUGACAUGCUUGUAACUAGGGUAACAUACUAUCUAAAACUUGCAAUUUGUUUCAAAAUCUACAUUUAUCAAUUGUAUUUGUAAUGCAUAAAACUUCAACUCCCAUUGCUGGACAAGAGUUUGCUGGUAGCGGAAACAAUAUGAAGAGUCUUAAAAUUAUGGCAAUUUUUCUCGAACUGUUCUCCAUGAGUAAAUAGCUUCCUUGCACAUCAAAAUCCAUAUUCAUAUAUAAGGGUGGCAGUUGGAUGAAUGUAUCAGUUAUGAUUUUAACAUUUAACUUUGUUUAAUACAGAGAAAAAAAUUUGAAAGAUUGACGAAGGUGGAUGAUUCUUUACCGCUGAAGAAUCUAUGCUAGGAGCUCGUUCCUUCUUCUUAAGGGAGGAGCUAGAUAUCUCCCCUGAUUGCGACACGCGAGAUUUCUUUGACCU